UUGCGCCUUGGGGCGCACUGUGAGUAACUUGCUGAGAGGACCCAGCUGACUAGACCCCUUUCUCUAUAACUUCUACUGGCUGCGAGGUGCAUCGGAAGGAUCCUGGGAGACCCUCAAGCUACGCAAUGGUGACGUUAUGGAACGGGAGGUGGGGAUGGGGUGGAAUAGGGUGCGUUCCGGACGGAAGUGCUCAGAAACAGUUGUGGCAGUUUACAGCCUCCCUGCUUAGCUCCAGACACCAAGGGCAUCCUAGUCUUUGGUGCUGCAUCAUGAUCUGACUCUUUUCACCCUUUGCUCAGGCAGGGACAGUUCUGGGUCCCCAGCAUACAGACAGUACUGUGGCUGCUUACUCCACGGUACCUUCUUGUUCGGCCCCACGCAGAGAUGUAUGCACCGGUCCGCAGAGAGCAGGAGCUUUGGGGAAACCCUGGGUUCCAUACUCAGCAAUGAAAAAUCAUCGUUUUAAUUUUUACAUGAGACCGUUUCAGGCAGUGAUGUUAUUGCAUCAACAGAGCUCGUGUUGUAACAACAUUGAGGAAUGAGGUCUCAAACCAAAAGAUGGGUGUUAGAGAUUUUAUUGGAAAUAAUGACAAGAAUAGCUCCAGAAUUUACAGAAGGGUCCCGAGUGAGGGGCCCCGUGACCUCUCUAUCCAGAGUUAAUUAUAGGGGCUGUCUAUUAAACCCGCACUGAGAAAUGCAUUGAACUGGGGAAAUUUAGGAAUAUUAAAUCACCAAGCACAGCCUGGAUAACUGAGCAAGACCUUUUUGCAAUGUGAAGUAAGUAUUUUAGGGUAUAUCGCAACUCUAAACUAACUUGUGUAAUGUGCAUGAGGCCCUAAGUUAAGUUUAUAGUAAUGUAGAGAAAAUGAAAAAUUAUUUAGUGCAAAUCUUAACUUUAAUUUUGAAAUUUACUCAUUUUUCCUAUUAGUGGUACAUGGUACAGUGCUUCUUCAUGUUGGAAGAGAGCAGUAUUGAGUCACUGCACUGUCAGAAAGAGGACACAAAAUGUGAUCGACCAGUGAUUUACAAUGUACUGUGUUCAUGAGAUAUUUAGUGUUUUAUUAUGAAUAUGGUGAUUUAAUAAUCCUCAAUUUCCCAAGUGGCUGAUAUUAAAGGUGUGCAUCACCAUGCCUCAGUGAUGUUUACUUUACCCAAGCAUUGUAAUCUUGGUAAAUCAUGGUGAUUUAAGAAUCCCAAUCGUAAAUUAGCAAGGUGGCACAGAUCUAUGUUCCCAACUGUCAAGAGGUGGAAAUUAACAUUUCUCCCAAGCAUGGGCAACUUAGUAAGAUCUGAUCUCAAACAUUUAAAAAAAAAAUGGCAAGGGAAUGUAGCUCAGGGUAAAAUUUCUGAGUUUCCAUGCCUAGGACAAGCUCUUUAACUCUGGAGAAAGGAACUGUGUUUCUAAUCGUUUGAUUAGAUUCUGACACUAUCUCAAGUUAAAGUCUGAAUUCACAGGUAUGCUUGUGCAGUUCCACUAGAACUCUUUUAGAGCUUAAUGCUAGUCAAACUUGUGUUCUAGUUUAACCUUCCUUUACCCAACCUGGCCAAAGAGACAUUCUCACAAUCUACCUUCCUGUUACUGUUUUCUAAUUUCUGGAAUGAAUCAUAGGACUUAGGACAACAGUUAACUUAUGUGCAUAUUUCAGAGUGUGGUGCAAGAAAAGAGUAGAAGUUGAAUAUUGUAUCUGGAG
ensembl:lincRNA